rnacentral:lncRNA from 10 species
AAUUCUUGACUUUGGUUUCACAAGACGGUGUAUUAGUAAAGUAUUUUUGUUGAAAUCUGGGCUGUCAUCCAGUUGACUGCACUUCACCACAAUGGCUCAUAGUUCCCUCCUAGAUUUUAGAUCACCAAAAAGGAUUCUCUGGAUUUGCACCAGGAACACCAGGACAAGACACUCAUCUGCAGCUGUUGAGAGUAUCACAGCUGAUGGAUUACAGCUAUGUCUUCGAUGAAAACUGCCCUCAGCUGGCUGCAAGGAACAGCCUCACUGAAAAUUAUGCCUCUCCUGGAGGUAGCUGUGGCCAAUGCCUGUGGAGAUACAAAGGCUAAGGCCUAUACCUCAAUUUGGGAAAACUCUGAAAGCCCAACCCAGCUGGAGCUUCCAAUAAGGGGUGAGGCCUCAGUUGCAUCCCCAUGGUAGGCCCGCUCCUUUCUCUGCCUGUGUCCUCCAUACUUCCUUAGAGAUUUAUCUCAGCAUACUCCCCCAAAACCUUUGCAUGCAACUCUGUCUCAGAGACUGUUUCCAGGGAAUCCAAUCUAA